GUAGAUGUGAUGCCUGGAACUCAUGCAGCUAUCUUGCAAUGAUGAGGAUGAGGCUAAGAGAAUAGGAGAGAGCCUCGCUCAAACAGGCUGAAUUCGAGUAUUUCGGGCCCUAAGAAGGAAGGACAAAGAUCCCUGGAGAACUCUCCUGUAGUGUCCUUGUUUUGAGUAGCAAUGGAGGCAGCAGCAAUUUCUGACUCUGUGGCCUUCGUAGCUGGCUGUGCACUGGAACACACACAAAUGAAGCAGGACUGUUGGACUAGACACUUGGAAAUAUCAAUUAGGUCCACCCAAGCCUCCAGACAACCUCUUUUCCCAGUGAGCGUUAUGCCCUGCUGGAACUGCCCAGAGAUGCAGAUCUGAAGCUCAUUAAGACAGACUGAAUUGCAUCUAUAUUUAAAGCAUCUGCUGUCCCAGGAUACAAAAGUAAAGUGGUGGAUGUUAUUCUUGCUGGAUCUGCUGUCUGAAAGCUCAAACAUUUCCAUCCCUUUCAUAUAAUCUUGAUCCUGUAAUUCAUUGUCUAUCUUUAAAAAAUUCAACCUGCCUUUACAUUAAAAAUAAAGCAAAAGCAAAACCAUCACCACCGUGCUUAUUUUAGCAAGUUUAUUUUUUAAGAAGAUAAAAAUCAAUAUUCUCCCUUGCACAGCUGAUAUCCUGGG
rnacentral:lncRNA from 1 species